rnacentral:lncRNA from 1 species
ACAAGAACCAAAUCCGGAACAACAUUAGACUGUUCACUUGCGCCCUGACUGUCACGCCCCGAGCCCGCCUAUUUGGUCAGGUUCGGCAUGCCGACAGACGCCAAACGGACAGAGUUUCCCCUGUAUGUCCAAGGCAUCGCAAUCAAUACAAUUACAACAGGUUCCAACCAGGAACAGUAUUCAACAUACAACGAUUGCAUGAGGAAGGUAUCAAACAACAUAAACACAUCCUAAGUUAUUACAUUCAUUCAUUCAUACUUUACCUCUCAGUUACAAUUUACCCUUACUUCCAACCAAAUGCAAUCUAGGCUACU